rnacentral:lncRNA from 1 species
CUUUUCUUUGGAUAUUUUUACAGUAUAAAUGUUAUUCUACAAGAAAAUAGUUAAACAUUUCCUGUAGCAGCUUAGGACAGUACAGUUUGUGAGUUAACAGAUCAGGGUGAGCCUCAGUGUUUCCUGGUGUACUGUACUCAUCCGCCAACUUAGGACAGCUGUUUAGUGAUCGCAGAGGUGCAACACCCGUUUCAGAGCCAUUUACAUCAUUUAGUGAGGAUUCCUGUGUCUGACAGUACUGAACCUGAGGAAUUUCACACAUUUUUGAGCAGAGACCAGGUGUGCAGUAUCAACACCUUUUUAGUUACAUUUUGACAUGAAUUGUUGGAGAGAACUUGAAUACCAUGGCCAUGAGAUAUGACUUUAGCUAUAGAAUGCAAAAAUAUGCAG